rnacentral:rRNA from 1 species
UACGGAGGUGCGAGCGUUAAUCGGAAUUACUGGGCGUAAAGACGCAUGCAGGUGGUUUGUUAAGUCAGAUGUGAAAGACCCGGGGCGUCAACCUACGGAAUUGCAUUUAGUAAACUAGGCAGACUAGAGUACUGUAGAGGGGGGUAGGAAUUUCAGGUGUAGCGGUGAAAAUGCGUAGAGAUCUGAAGGAAUACCGGUGGCGAAGGCGGCCCCCUCGGACAGAUACUGACACUCAGAUGCGAAAGCGUGGGGAGCAAACAGGAUUAGAUACCCUGGUAG